CUUCAUUCCCCCGUGUCAUGGUCAGUAUAAAACUCAUUCGCUCACGUUCCACUGCCUCAUUUUAGAAGAUCGAAGAUUUGCGUUAUCAGAUUAUGCAUUCCCUCAGGUGCUGUGUGUGGUGGUACUUUAUUUUGCCACAAGCAGAACAUCUGACACAGAAUUAUAGACAAGGAAGAAAUGAAUCACUGUUAAAAUUGGAUCACGAAAAGUGAAUAAGCCCUGACUACAGUUGGAGUCUCCAGAGGGUACCAAGCAUGUAGUGUGGUUGGUCUCAUGGGAAAAGAGCUGCCCUUAAACAGGGUGUGACCUGCACCAUGUAGAUGGAUGCCUGACAACCAAAUGCACCUCUGGCACAGUCUGCACAUACAAGUGCUACUUUUGGUUAACUUCAAGUGAGCCAUUUUAGUGUGUUUGGAAAUACAGUAAGUGAGAGAACUAAUUGGGUUGAAGCCAUGUUAAGCACAUAAGGCUGUCUGGUCACAUGGGGUAUAUGAGAGAGAGUCAAAUUAUCUGCACUUCAGUUAUAUUAAAACCUCUGUUGGCAGCACUGUUUUCAUCAGUACUUUCCAUACGAGGUCGGUCUCCCCAGUCACUGCUGUGCAGGUGUGAACGUGUUACGCCGGAUCAUUUGUAACUGCAGUGCGAGAAACACUUGCUGCCCCACUUAUGAUUUGCGAGAAAGAUCAGUAUGCAGUGAUUAGUUUGUUUUGUGAGGGUGCACAGUAUGGAGAAAGUUUGUUGUGAAGUGUGUAUGAAUGGAUUGAGGACGUUCAAGAAAGGUCACAAGUGUCAGUCAUCCGUGAAGGACCUGGGUGCCCAUCCACAACUGAUGACAUUGAGUGUGCACAUGAAAUGAUUCUAGAUGAGGACAAGGGCCCGUAGAGGUGGCAAAUCUGCUAUGGCCCUCUAUGCAGUAAUCCACAACAGACUUGGGUUUCAAAAGAAGCCAUAUGGGGACAGAGAUUAAUGUCUGAAGAGGUGAAGACAGCGCUUUUGUUGCUUGCAGCUCAGCCUUAAACUUUUUUUUUUUUUUUUUACCCCAUCUGUCAAACUUUUGUACCCCAAAACCAUAAAAAAAAAGUGUAUUGAAGCAGGGAGAUUGUUGAAAAAUGAUGUAUUUGUCUUUUCUGAAAGGUUAUUAAAAUUGUACAACUGUAGUGUGAA